AGCACCAGGCAGACGCAGCAGUUAGAUGAUAGCUUCUCAUCCAGCCCUUGGAAAGAAUUUAUAACAGUAAAGCUGACAAUGUUGUGGUCAAGCAGUGGUUAAUGUGGUUUUAUGCUUGUUAACAUAAUUUCAGAAGGUUUUAACUUCCCAAUUUAAGUUUGCUAAUACCAUCAAAUAGGCAUCUGCUAAAUUUUUAGCCGUGCUAAUGUCAGCUAACUGAUUAGAUAGCUAAGUUAGCUAGCAUGAAUAAUUCAUAAACAACUCUGUGUUUGUUGUUAGAGAUCUUAGAACAAAUAUUACCCACAACUUGCCUUUUAUCUUACUAUCAUCAUCAUCUUACUAUCUGCUAAUGUUACGCUAGCAGCUCACAGGAAUGUAGCCAGUAACAUUAAAGCUAAUGGCCAACAUUAAGGCUAACUGUUGUUAGCCUGAAACAGCACCAUUUGACGGCACAACUUGUCUCUCUUUCAGGUUCAGUCAGCUCUGUUUUUUACCUCAUGACAGACAAAUCUCUCCCCCAGAGUGCCACAGAUUAGUAGGGUAACUUUAAGUUUUUUUUCCCCUGCUUUAAUCUUCCCAUCAUUACAGUACAUUUUCGAAUCCUGAUCAUUGUUAACGGUUUUGAGUCUUAUUGGAUAAGUAAAUCAAAGCCAUCUAAAGAAGUUAAAAUUUUCAUCAAAAAUGAACUGUAAUUCAUUGUCUAAUUACUGUAUAAAAGUUAGAAAUAUGUGUAAUCAAAAUUCAGUGUUGUGGGUGACAAAUACUAAAACCUCCUUCACGUUGUAAUGCACUGCAAUAAGUGUUACCAUUGAAAAGCAUAUUUUAUUUGGUCAUUCAUGUAGUUAUUGUGACUAGCUAAGAAAGAGGUUCAUUCACCAUUACCUUACUUGUAGUGGUGUUGUGCUGUGUUGAAUUGCCCUCGUGCAGACUUAACAAAACUUUAACUUAAUGGCCACUGAUUUCACAGUGGUAACCUGUGUGUGGUGAUUCUGAUGUGAAUGUGUUAGGGAUUCUCUUUAGCUUAAUGUGCAUUAGUGUGUAUAUUGAAAUUUGAAUGGAGCUUAUAACAAAUAAUAAAUUUCAUGUUUGAGCCUUUUAUUACCAAGCGUUUCCCCUCACAUGUCUGUCAUGAGCUGCAGGAAAGGCUGAUGGCUCUCUAAUGAACUGAAAUUUUAUAGAUUACGUUAUGUAAAACUGUGAUAUUCAUGAUAUCAGUACACUGAGAUGGCUUGUUAAGGAACCACCCGCAUAGCUCAUUCUUAAUUUGCCCCACCUUUUGUCUUGUUGCUGCCGGCUUUGCACAUACUGCCAUUUGGAGUUGGUUUUACGAAGAUAGACUUUGACUAUGGCUUAGAGUAAACUAAUAGUCACACUUAGGAAAACUUGAUAGAUCAAACCUAAGUUAGUUAAUCAAGCAGGGCAUAUGGAAUGGUUGUUGAGACAGCCAGAAAAUGUAAUGUUUCUUUGUUGGGUUGCAUCACACCUUUCUGUUUGUUGACAUGGAGUUACAGGUAUGUUUGUGUGUGGUGUGUGUGUGUGAUCUCAUGUUUCACACACAGUGAACACUUGAUGUUGCUGGAACCCAAACCUGUGUCAAAAAUGAACUUAUCACUCUCUUCAUCUUAUAUAAAACUGCUUUAAAUGUCUGCUUUAUCUGAUGGGAAAUCAAGCUAGCGUAAAAGAUGGCUAAGCGUUUCUACUUCAAUCCUAUGCUGUGGGCCUGUUGCCUAUUCAGUCACUGCUACAGCCUGUGGUUCAUCUGCCUGCCAGCAGCUUUGCAACUGGCCGAAUUUAAAAGUCAAGCCAUGCAACAGGUGUACAAUGUCCUCUAAAAGAUGAGGACCACUGAGGUGGAGGUGCUGGAUGAGGUGUGUUACCGAGUGGUGAGGCAGCUCUGUGGUGUUUGGGGCUUUCCUGUUAUGGCUGUGUGAGUCCAAGUUGAGAUGAAGAAAGCUGGAGUUCAUCCCAACGCUCUCUGCUGUAAACACAUGUAGCUGUUAGCGAGCAGCUGCUCUUAUGUCUCCCCAGGUGUCGGUGUUUGUAUUUGGCAGAAACUCUCCGGCUCUCUGCCUGCUCAGCCUGCUUUCUGUGUGUCUCUCUCUGGAUGGCAGGCAGGUUGCUCCGGAUCUGAUUCUAAGCAAUGGUCGUCCUCUGGCUCGUCCCCAUGUCUGUGUGUGCCACCGUCACACACGCACUCUCUCUGUCGACUGACACUUGCUAUGCACUCAGCUAUUCCUUAAAGGAGCUACGCUACUUUUAUAACACAUUUUAGUUUAGAAAACAUCUUAAAAUGCUUUUUUUUUUAAUUCCCCGAUGUUUAGGCCCGGGGGGGGGUCCAGCGGCCCACUGGUCUUGCAAUACACUGGUGGAAACCCUACUGACCGUUUGAGUCAUGGAAGUGCAGACAGCUCAAGUAAAGUCAACAGUGAAGAAGAUAACCUAUUUGCCCACAGCCAUGACAUGGGAGACUCAACAGACAACCACUGUAGUACAGGCCCAAAAUGACCCUGAAGCACACCCAGACUGAGCUGAGGACCAAGCAGGAAGAAGUGAAAAAGAUGGACAGUGGCAACAAGAAGGAUCAGGACUCCCUGCAGGCUGCAGACUUGAGUAUCAAGGAAUGAUCAUCAUACCUGGAGUACCAGAAACUGAUAUGUGAGAUCCAAAACUUGUCACACUGUCACACAAAACACAAGUUUUUUAAAGGGUUUAUUUGUCUCUUUUAGGUGUUGGUGUUAGUGUGUUGAGUUUUAACAACAUUCAGGCAUUCACAGGGGAAAAAGGUCUUAGUAUGUUUUCCCAUGUCCCAUUUUUGUAUAAAAUGGAGCCUUUAAUAAUUGCCUGGAGUUGUUUCUGUUUUGUUACAGUUUCAUGUUUUGCCAAGUUAGU